CUACGGGUGGCAGCAGUGGGGAAUUUUGCGCAAUGGGGGAAACCCUGACGCAGCAAUACCGCGUGAGUGAAGAAGGCCUUUGGGUCGUAAAGCUCUUUUCUUGGGGAAGAUAGUGACGGUACCCAAGGAAUAAGUACCGGCUAACUCCGUGCCAGCAGCCGCGGUAAUACGUAGGGUGCAAGCGUUGUUCGGAUUUACUGGGCGUAAAGGGCACGUAGGCGGCACAGCAAGUUAAGGGUGAAAUCCCGGGGCUCAACUCCGGAACUGCUCUUAAAACUGCUGAGCUAGAGAUAGUCAGAGGCGGGUGGAAUUCCAGGUGUAGAGGUGAAAUUCGUAGAUAUCUGGAGGAACACCGGUGGCGAAGGCGGCCCGCUGGGGCUAUUCUGACGCUAAGGUGCGAAAGCGUGGGGAGCAAACGGGAUUAGAUACCCUGGUAGUC
rnacentral:rRNA from 1 species